rnacentral:rRNA from 1 species
CCUACGGGUGGCAGCAGUGGGGGGUAUUGCACAAUGGGCGGAAGCCUGAUGCAGCGACGUCGCGUGAGGGAUGGAGGCCUUCGGGUUGUGAACCUCUUUCGCCGGUGAAGAAGGUCCUGCUCCUUGUGGUGGGGCUGACGGUAGCCGGGUUAUGAAGCGCCGGCUAACUACGUGCCAGCAGCCGCGGUAAUACGUAGGGCGCGAGCGUUGUCCGGAAUUAUUGGGCGUAAAGGGCUUGUAGGCGGCUGGUCGCGUCUGCCGUGAAAUCCUCUGGCUCAGCUGGGGGCGUGCGGUGGGUACGGGCUGACUUGAGUGCGGUAGGGGAGACUGGAACUCCUGGUGUAGCGGUGGAAUGCGCAGAUAUCAGGAAGAACACCGGUGGCGAAGGCGGGUCUCUGGGCCGUUACUGACGCUGAGGAGCGAAAGCGUGGGGAGCGAACAGGAUUAGAUACCCGGGUAGUC